UAAUCCAAAAUUUUUUAAGUUUUUGUUAUUCCAAAAAUUAUCACAAUACUUACAUUGCCCUGUCCUCAGUUGUCAGGUUCCGCCACAAACUGGCAAAAUUAUCUGAUUCAAAACACCAAGGAUGGAGGGUGAAGAAUUGCAAAACGUCAAGACCCGUGGAUAUUUUAUUUUGAACACGCACCAUGCUGGAAAAGAGUUUUGUAUUGAUUAAGUGCAAUUUCGAAAUUGUAACUUCGACUUACAAUCGCUUCUGCCCGAAUAUCAAUAGCAAAAAGUCCAAAAAUGACGACAGCAUCCGGGUACCAAAGACCCACGUUGAGGGGAUACUCGCGCCCCAAGCGUUUGCACAUGGUAAUCACAUCGCCCAUUUUCGUUUUGCGGUGAUCGGCAUUCGUGAUGUUGUAAACGGGAACAUCCGCAGGUCUAAGAGAUAUAAAAUUAUUUAUCGGCAAUUAUGGAAACAAUACAUGCAGUUAUCCUUGUUCCAAGUAGUUAAUUUUUUUAAGGACAAGGGCGACUUUUUCGCUAAGUUAAGUUUAAGUAACAUUUGCUAACCGUUUUUGACUUUUGUAGAACUGGUAAGGUAUCACAAUGAGUCCGUUUAUGGCAUAAUCGACUGGUAUAACUUCGGAGCGAUUUUUCUCAUCGACGAGUACCGAGCGUAUGACGCCUUUGCCAACGCCAAUCAUCAGACCGGUGGGUCCAUUCAAGUUGUCCACCCAACCCUUCUGGGGCUCAAAUGCGGCGGGGGACACUAAACGUAAUUUCAUCGAUUAAUUUAAACAUUUUCUAUCUCGUAUUUACUAAAUAUAAGUAUAUUUACCGGUUAACCGCGCCACAAUGACUGUAUUAGUUGACUGAAAGUGUAUGUGUGUUAUAUAUGUGAUGUGUGGCUGUGUGAGUAGGUGGCUUGUGUUAAGUGUGAGUGUGCGUGUGAUUUCUUGCUCUUUUGUUUUAUUUUGAAUAAAUUUCUUAUGUAAAUAUUUAAAUGUAAGUAUUUAUUGUUGUAGAAUAUGUAAAGUAGUUCUAUAUGUAUGUGUAUAAAUAAAUUUAAUUAUGU